rnacentral:rRNA from 1 species
CGUAGGGUGCGAGCGUUAAUCGGAAUUACUGGGCGUAAAGUGUGCGCAGGCGGCCGAGCAAGUCGAGUGUGAAAGCCCCGGGCUUAACUUGGGAAUUGCGCUCGAAACUACUUGGCUGGAGUGUGGCAGAGGAAGGUGGAAUUCCAGGUGUAGCGGUGAAAUGCGUAGAGAUCUGGAGGAACACCGAUGGCGAAGGCAGCCUUCUGGGCCAACACUGACGCUCAUGCACGAAAGCGUGGGGAGCAAACAGGAUUAGAUACCCUGGUAGUCCACGCCCUAAACGAUGAUGACUAGUUGUUGGGGGAGUUAAAUCCCUUAGUAACGCAGCUAACGCGUGAAGUCAUCCGCCUGGGGAGUACGGUCGCAAGAUUA